AAUGCCUUGGUCCAAAGAACCUUCUCUAGGUUACUAUCUGGUUGUAACAAUUUGUGAAUGAAAUGAUUAAUGUCACCUUUAUUAGUUAGUAAUAAUGACAUGGAUAGUGAGUUUUAAAUCUCAGCUGCAAGAUCUACAACAGUCGUUACUCAUUGUUUGCAGCUGGGAGGUCUACAUAUGCCCUUUUUCACCCUCAAAGAACCCUUUCCUGGUAAUACAAGUGAGUUUCUAGAUUUGAUAGCAUGGGAGGAAAUGUAAAGCAAACAGCCAAAGAGCUUUCAGAGGGGUAUCUAAAGGAGAGAGCUUCAUCAGAGGGGUAUUUAAAGGAGAGAGCUUCAUCAGAGGGGUAUCUAAAGGAAGGCAUCAUCAGAGGGGUAUCUAAAGGAGAGAGCUUUCAGAGGGGUAUCUAAAGGAGCUCAGAGGGGUAUCUAAAGGAAGGCAUCAUCAGAGGGGUAUCUAAGAGGGGUAUCUAAAGGAAAGAGCUAUAUCAGAGGGGUAUCUAAAGGAGAGCUUUCAGAGGGGUAUUUAAAGGAGAGCUUUCAGAGGGGUAUCUAAAGGAGAGCUUUCAGAGGGGUAUCUAAAGCAUCAUCAGAGGGGUAUUUAAAGGAGAGCUUCAUCAGAGGGGUAUCUAAAGGAGCGCUUUCAGAGGGGUAUCUAAAGGAGAGCUUUCAGAGGGGUAUCUAAAGGAGAGCUUUCAGAGGGGGGUAUCUAAAGGAAGGCAUCAUUAGAGGGGUAUCUAAAGGAGAGAGCUUCAUCAGAGGGGUAUCUAAAGGAGAGAGCUUUCAGAGGGGUAUCUAAAGGAGAGAGCUUUCAGAGGGGUAUCUAAAGGAGCGCUUUCAGAGGGGUAUCUAAAGGAGAGCUUUCAGAGGGGUAUCUAAAGCAUCAUCAGAGGGGUAUCUAAAGGAGAGCUUUCAGAGGGGUAUCUAAAGCAUCAUCAGAGGGGUAUUUAAAGGAGAGCUUCAUCAGAGGGGUAUCUAAAGGAGCGCUUUCAGAGGGGUAUCUAAAGGAGAGAGCUUCAUCAGAGGGGUAUCUAAAGGAGAGAGCUUUCAGAGGGGUAUCUAAAGGAGAGAGCUUUCAGAGGGGUAUCUAAAGGAGAGCUUUCAGAGGGGUAUCUAACGGAAAACAUCAUCAGAGGGGUAUCUAAAGGAGAGCAUCAUCAGAGGG
ensembl:lncRNA